rnacentral:lncRNA from 1 species
AAAUCUGAGGUGGAAUAAUUUUUUAAAAAAAUUAUUCUAUAUAUUUUAGAUCUAAUUCUCUAGGUCUAAUUUUAUUAUUUGAUAUUUAAAAUCUAAAAUUAAAUCUAAAUCUAUGAUGAAAGAAGAAGUACCUCAAGGGUAAUCUGAUUAUCCUGUAGAUGAUCUCUGCACAGCCCGAGGUUCUAUUGUAGCCACGCAAGCGUCUAGCCUCUACCGGUAUCCACUCGGACA